rnacentral:rRNA from 1 species
UGCCAGCAGCCGCGGUAAUACGGAGGGUGCAAGCGUUGUUCGGAAUCAUUGGGCGUAAAGCGGGUGUAGGCGGUCGAGUAAGUCGGAUGUGAAAUCCCAGGGCUCAACCCUGGAACUGCAUUCGAUACUGCUCGUCUAGAGUCCCGGAGAGGGUGGCGGAAUUCCCGGUGUAGGGGUGAAAUCCGUAGAUAUCGGGAGGAACACCAGUGGCGAAGGCGGCCACCUGGACGGUGACUGACGCUCAGACCCGAAAGCGUGGGGAGCGAACAGGAUUAGAUA